rnacentral:rRNA from 1 species
GUGAGGAAUUUUCCGCAAUGGGCGAAAGCCUGACGGAGCAAUGCCGCGUGAAGGAUGAAGGUCUUAGGAUUGUAAAAUUCUUUCACCGGGGACGAUAAUGACGGUACCCGGAGAAGAAGCCCCGGCUAACUUCGUGCCAGCAGCCGCGGUAAUACGAAGGGGGCUAGCGUUGCUCGGAAUUACUGGGCGUAAAGGGAGCGUAGGAGGAUAGUUUAGUCAGAGGUGAAAGCCCAGGGCUCAACCUUGGAAUUGCCUUUGAUACUGGCUAUCUUGAGUAUGGAAGAGGUAUGUGGAACUCCGAGUGUAGAGGUGAAAUUCGUAGAUAUUCGGAAGAACACCAGUGGCGAAGGCGACAUACUGGUCCAUUACUGACGCUGAGGCUCGAAAGCGUGGGGAGCAAACAGGAUUAGAAACCCGGGUAGUCC